rnacentral:tRNA from 1 species
GCGGAAAUAGCUCAGUGGUAGAGCGUAUCGUUGCCAACGAUAAGGUCGCGGGUUCGAACCCCGUUCUCCGCUCCA